rnacentral:rRNA from 1 species
CCUGGCGGCCUUAGCGCGGUGGUCCCACCUGACCCCAUGCGAACUCAGAAGUGAAACGCCGUAGCGCCGAUGGUAGUGUGGGGUCUCCCCAUGCGAGAGUAGGGAACUGCCAGGC